CAUAAACAAAGAUCUCCUAACUUUGUUUAGAAAUCCUAAAACUUUUCUUUUUCAUAAUAAUCUCCCGAAAACCACCUUGAAAGGUGGUUUUCUU
rnacentral:sRNA from 22 species